CAAGGUCCUCAUGCCCGUCAGACAGUUUUCACUUGACCUCGACCUCAUUUCAUGGAUCAAUGAACAAGGUUAAGUUUUGGUGGUCAAGUCCAUAUCUCAGAUACUAUAAGCAAUAGGUCUAGUAUAUUUGGUGUAUGGAAGGACUGUAAGGUGUACAUGUCCAACUGGCAGGUGUCAUCUGACCUUGACCUCAUUUUCAUGGUUCAGUGGUUAUAGUUAAGUUUUUGUGUUUUGGUCUGUUUUUCUUAUACUAUAUGCAAUAGUUCAACUAUAUUUGGUGUAUGGAAAUAUUUUAUGAUCUAUUUGGCAGUCACGCAGGUUUUAUUUGACCUUGACCUCAUUUUCAAGGUUCAUUGCUCAGUGUUAAGUUUUUGUGUUUUGGUCUGUUUUUCUUAAACUAUAAGCAAUAGGUCAACUCUAUUUGUUGUAUGGAAGAAUUGUUAGCUGUACAUGCCUGCCUAGCAUGGUUCAUCUGACCUUGACCUCAUUUUCAUGGUUCAUUGGUCAAUGUUUAGUUUACUUGGUUAAUGUUAAGUUUAUGUGACAGUUGUAAUAAAGCUUUAUAUUUAGGACUAUCAACAUAAUAUCAAUGAUUAGUAAAGAAGGCGAGACAUUUCAGCGUGUGCACUCUUGUGUUCUUUUUCAUACCAAAGCAUUGUUUACUUGAGAGGUUUUCAUACCAAAGCAUUGUUUACUUGAGAGGUUUUCAUACCAAAGCAUUGUUUACUUGAGAGAUUUUCUUCCAAAAAACACUUGAUAGAAUCAAAGUUUAGGGCUUAGAAAGAAUCAACUAUUUUAAUGGUUUUGUUUACUAUUAAAUGAAAAAGAAAUUGAAAACAAAGGUUGUAGUCAAUGUAAAUUAUUUUUGCAAAUUACUUUGUUUUGUAAUAUCUAGUCAAAUGUUUGGCUUUUUUUAAUUAUUAUAUUGUCUUUUUUAUUUAGCACCUUUGCAUUGUAUUGAAGAUGAAUUGUUUGCAUAUUUUGUAUAAAAUUGGGAAAAAAACAGGAACAGUUCUGCUCUCUGUUUAGCUGAGAAGGCCAAAGUAUCAAGUGAACUAUUGCUGCUUAGAAACAACUGGUCUAAUUUUCACAAUGCUAUAUAUAUUUUUUUUUAUUUGAUGAAGCGAACCCCUUUAAAAACUUAGCUAAUAUUGUCCAUUAAUAAGUAAAUAAAUUAAUUUUGUGGUGUUCUUUGAUCAUGUAUCUAGAUUUUUGAUAUUGGACCAUAAUAGAUAAAUGUCCAAUUUCAAAUUUUUAAGUUCUUAGACCAAAUUCAUUCUGUAUCAGAAACCUAUGCUGUGUCAAAUAUUUAAUCACAAUCCAAAUUCAGAGCUGUAUCAAGCUUGAAUGUUGUGUCCAUACUUGCCCCAACUGUUCAGGGUUUAAUCUCUGUGGUCAUAUCAAGCUGCUCCCUGCGAAGCAUUUUAUUGGUCAAUGGAAACAGCUUCUAAGAAGCCCUCUAUAUACAAAGCAAGUGUCACCAGCAUGAAUAUGAUUUUGACAAUGUAAGUGCAUUAAAUAUUUAUGUUAAAAAGGGGUUUGCAAAAUUGGUAGUUAUAGAAAAGAAAUAUUGUUCAACGGCUUAGGUACAUCAAACAUGCUCCUUCCAUACACUUUUGAUUAAGGCUAUUCCAAUUAAACAAAUAUAUGAGGAAGGGAAGUUUUAUUUUUUGACAUGGGUUGUGGAUGAUUUAUGCAUGUAUGUCCAUUUGUUGUUAACAAAAUUACUCAAAAAAGGAAUGCUGACUGGGGGGACUCUCCAACAUCCAUUUUGUUGGAAUAAUCUGUAACAUGGAAAAGUAUGUCCUCUUGAAAGUUGUCUCCCUUUACUGAAAAUUCUAAUUAAUAAUUUGAAAUUGGUCUAUACAGGUCACUAUUUACUAUGAAUAUGACAUAUGUAGAUACAGAGUAAAUUUGAAAACAGCAUAGCUAGUUUUUUACAACAUGUUGGUAUAUUUCAUGAUAAUGGUGUGAAUGCAUAUAUACAUAGAUUAUUAAAAAACGAAACAAAAUGUAAAAAUGUUUAAACAUUUUUUUUUUUUUUUAAAUAAUUUGAGGAUUUCCUUUCCAGUCAAUCUUAUAAAACAUUCAAACAACUACCAAUUGGUAUUAGUUUUCUUUUAGAUCAUGUGGAAAUAAUUAUAAAAUGUUAUUUUCCAAUUUUGAUGAAUGAAAGUCUAUAUAAUUAUUCAAUCAGUCAUGAAUAGGUUAACUAUGACACAUUGAUUUUUACACAAAUUUAACCAUUUUUAUCUUUGAGGAUAUUCCUUUUCCAAUUUGAAUCAAAAUGUUAAAGCAGACCCCUUUAUGGAAUUGUCUGGUGCCAAGUAAAAUUAGCCUCAAGACAUUAUAUCCUAUAUAUACAUGUAAAUAUCUCUUUAUUCAUAUACUUAGAUGAAUCUCAAGAAACAUUGUUGCCUUUAUUGUAAAGAUUCACAUACUGUGGAUUCAUUUAUUUUCGUGGGUAUAAUUUUUUCGUGGAUUGAGGAAAACUUGCAUUUUCGUGGAUAUUUGAUUUCGUGGUUUUGUCAAUCCCUGCAUACAAAGCCUAUAGAAUGUUUGUAAUUCAUUGAAGAUUUGAAUUUGUGGUUCACUUGUACACACAAAACCCACGAAAAUUGGUAUUCAAAGAAUAAUAAUGAAUCCACAGUAGAAUUGAAUGAAUUUAUGAUAACAUUUCAUAUGUGAUAAGAUAUUCAUCCAUCAUUGUUUUAUUUUGAUACCAGUUAUUAAAUAUGGAAAUAAA